rnacentral:rRNA from 1 species
AUACGGAGGGCGCAAGCGUUGUUCGGAAUUACUGGGCGUAAAGCGCGUGUAGGCGGUUCGGUAAGUUGGGUGUGAAAGCCCGGGGCUCAACCCCGGAACUGCACUCAAAACUGCCGGGCUAGAGUCUCGGAGAGGAAGGCAGAAUUCCCAGUGUAGGGGUGAAAUCCGUAGAUAUUGGGAGGAAUACCAGUAGCGAAGGCGGCCUUCUGGACGAUGACUGACGCUGAGACGCGAAAGCGUGGGGAGCAAACAGGAUUAGAUACCCCGGUAGUCC